AUUUUAUAACUAUUUUCUCCAUUUUUACCUUGGCGAUAUAAUUAUAACUAUUUUAUAACUAUUUUCUUCGUUUCUUGUUUUCUUUUUCUGUGUCCGCAUGUUCGCUGCAUGUAGCGCGAUGGUUUUAUGGCAUUCUGCAGAGAAAGGAGUCUUCUGUCUGAGAAAAAGAAGGGAAAACAUUCUCCCAGACAAUUUGCAAGAGAACAGAAGAGGACGAGAUGGCACAAAUGCAGGACAGAUUGUCAAAGCAUUUGAUUACUUUGGAUUAUCCUACAACAUUUUGAUCCAGGAGCUUUUUCAAGAGCAACCAUCCUGACUACACGAGGCCUGUCAAUGCUGAAAGAACACAGAACACAGUACACGGUGUAACUGAUAUAGCGAAUGCAAAUGCCAUACUGAGCAGAGUGAAUUGAAAUUACACAAUUCCCUCAAAUUUGAUGCUUUGUCAGUUGUGUCUGUUUCUUCAUUGGACUAUAAUAAAACUUUGACAACCUUAUUAGCUUUCUGGAA